GUGGGAGGGGGCUUGCUCCCGAUAACAGUGGGUCAGUCAAAGAGAAAUCGGCUGAUGUAGCGUAAUCGGGAGCAAGCCCCCUCCCAC
rnacentral:misc_RNA from 1 species